rnacentral:rRNA from 1 species
GAUGAACGCUGGCGGCGUGCCUAAUACAUGCAAGUCGAGCGAACAGAUAAGGAGCUUGCUCCUCUGACGUUAGCGGCGGACGGGUGAGUUACACGUGGAUAACCUACCUAUAAGACUGGGAUAACUUCGGGAAACCGGAGCUAAUACCGGAUAACAUAUUGAACCGCAUGGUUCAAUAGUGAAAGGCGGCUUUGCUGUCACUUAUAGAUGGAUCCGCGCCGUAUUAGCUAGUUGGUAAGGUAACGGCUUACCAAGGCAACGAUACGUAGCCGACCUGAGAGGGUGAUCGGCCACACUGGAACUGAGACACGGUCCAGACUCCUACGGGAGGCAGCAGUAGGGAAUCUUCCGCAAUGGGCGAAAGCCUGACGGAGCAACGCCGCGUGAGUGAUGAAGGUCUUCGGAUCGUAAAACUCUGUUAUCAGGGAAGAACAAAUGUGUAAGUAACUGUGCACAUCUUGACGGUACCUGAUCAGAAAGCCACGGCUAACUACGUG